CUACGGGGUGCUGCAGUGGGGAAUUUUGCGCAAUGGGGGAAACCCUGACGCAGCAAUACCGCGUGAGUGAAGAAGGCCUUUGGGUCGUAAAGCUCUUUUCUUGGGGAAGAUAGUGACGGUACCCAAGGAAUAAGCACCGGCUAACUCCGUGCCAGCAGCCGCGGUAAUACGGAGGGUGCAAGCGUUGUUCGGAUUUACUGGGCGUAAAGGGCACGUAGGCGGCACAGCAAGUUAAGGGUGAAAUCCCGGGGCUCAACUCCGGAACUGCUCUUAAAACUGCUGAGCUAGAGAUAGUCAGAGGCGGGUGGAAUUCCAGGUGUAGAGGUGAUAUUCGUAGAUAUCUGGAGGAACACCGGUGGCGAAGGCGGCCCGCUGGGGCUAUUCUGACGCUCAGGUGCGAAAGCGUGGGGAGCAAACAGGAUUAGAUACCCCCGUAGUC
rnacentral:rRNA from 1 species